rnacentral:lncRNA from 12 species
AUGUUAAGUUUGUUCACCAUGAUUGUUGAUAGGAAAAAGGUGGGGAAAAAAGUUAAAAAUGAGAUAAAACUCUCCUUAUCAGAAACCUUGUUUGUUUCUUUCUUUCUUUUAAGGUUGAUGCUGGAAAAAGGUUUCUGGUAUACUGCUAACCUCUCACCAAGCCUUACUGAAUCCUACUACAUGCUAAGGAAAUGCUGGGAAAAGUGACGAGUCAACUAAAUUUGCAAAGUCCUUUGUACUGCAACAAAGAUAAAGCAUUGAUCUAUACAUAGUGUCCAUUGUGCCAGUCACCUUUGGCAUCUCAUCCAGCAAAGAAUGGAAAGAACCAGGAAAGAAGAGAAUACCAGCAAUGCUUCUGGUGUGCCAUUCUAGAGGAAAAUGUGAAAUCUGUG